CAAAUUUGCUCUUUCACGAGUGAACACACACGGAGCUGCUACAACAUGGACAACAUUCCACGUUCCAAGGUAAAAUGAGUCUCUCCUGGCUGAGCGGCUGGAACUCUUGGAAGUUGAAAUCAAACUGGUCAUCUGAGGCCAGCGGCGGGAGCUCGACCUGCUGGCGGAAAUGUCGUGCCCUGAUAGCCCGGCCUGCCAGACACUCCUGUGUGCAGUGUCCUUCUGUAAUAUAAUCCUGCAUGCCUGGCGGGAGCAUGUGAUAGAGACUGACCCACACUCCUGUCUCGAUGACCCCAGCAUCAUAACGCCUCAGGUUGGGGCUAAAGUACAGGCGCAGACCUGAGCUGUCCACUUUUCCUGUGUGGGCUUCUUCUGUCGGAAUUGGAAUUCUAAAUAAAAACAUUUCCAACAGAGUGAUCUGUGUCCUGCUCUUCCUGGAGCCUCUGCCUGAAUCAGUGGGACCCGGGGCCAAACAGUGGCUGAAUAAAUAUUAAACAUUCCGCUUCCACCUCUCCUUAUUUACCCAUGAUGAGCCAUUUUGGAGUCUAAAAGCUAAUGGAAAUGUUCUAAUAUUAAUCUAUUGGAGAAUAAAACCGUUUUCAAGCAAUAGCAGUGUCUGAUUCAUCUACCUGCAGUAAAACAGAUUCAGACCGUAGUCUCCAUACUUUAUGAUGGCACUGUUAUUAUACUGAUGAUUAUUGUGAAGCUGCAUGGUUGGACCAAUGGUUUGCAAAUGUUGCUAGUAAUAAUAAUUAUGUUCAUUGACAUUAGAUACUGAAUUAUUAUUGAUAAUGUUACUUAUAAAAUUGUUAUUUGAGUUAAAGGGGUCAUGUGACACGGCUAAAACAAAUAUAUCGUUUGUUUUAGAUGUAAUGCAAUGUGUAUAGAAGAUUUAAGGUUCAAAAACGCUGUAUUUUCCACAUACCGCGCAUGUUUGUACCUCCUCUUUACCCUGCCUCUCUGAAACGCGCAGAUUUUUUACAAAGCUCAUCGCUCUGAAAAGCAAGGUGUGCUAUGAUUGGCCAGUUAACCAGUGCGUAGUGAUUGGUCGAAUACUGCAAGCGUGUGACGGAAAUGUAACGCCUCUUACCAUAUUUCUAACAUCAGGUUCCAAAGCAAUUGUACUGACAGGUACGCCCACCUUACUUGCGUGUACAUUUGGGCAGUCUUAGUCAAAUCAUACCACGAACUUAUGUAGUGGUAUGGGUGAGUAUGCUGGGUGAGCAUUCGCUUUUAGAUAGAAUGCAUCUUUUGUUCCCACACUUUAAUUUUUGCAAUUUUACUUGUCCAAUACAUGCAUGGGCAACUUAUAACACACCAAAGACACAGAAAAACACGUAUUCGCGCCAUAUGACCCCUUUAAUGUCAAGUGCAUUAAAGAAACUAAAUUUCUGUCAUUGUUUAUGCUCAUGUUAUUCAAAACCUGUGGAACACAAAAGUUUACCAACAUUCUUCACAAUAUCUUCUUUUGUUUUAAAGGGACAGUUCGCUCAAAAAUAAAAUAAUGCCAUUAUUUACUCUUCCUCGAGUUGUUCCAAAUCUGU